rnacentral:rRNA from 1 species
AGCGUGGGCGGACAUUUAAGUCAGGGGUGAAAUCCCGGGGCUCAACCUCGGAAUUGCCUUUGAUACUGGGUGUCUUGAGUAUGAGAGAGGUGUGUGGAACUCCGAGUGUAGAGGUGAAAUUCGUAGAUAUUCGGAAGAACACCAGUGGCGAAGGCGACACACUGGCUCAUUACUGACGCUGAGGCUCGAAAGCGUGGGGAGCAAACA